rnacentral:rRNA from 1 species
GUCCCACGGGGGGCAGCAGUAGGGAAUCUUCCACAAUGGACGAAAGUCUGAUGGAGCAACGCCGCGUGAGUGAAGAAGGGUUUCGGCUCGUAAAGCUCUGUUGGUAGGGAAGAAAGAUAGAGGUAGUAACUGGCCUUUAUUUGACGGUAAUUACUUAGAAAGUCACGGCUAACUACGUGCCAGCAGCCGCGGGAAUACGUAGGUGGCAAGCGUUGUCCGGAUUUAUUGGGCGUAAAGCGAGUGCAGGCGGUUUAAAAAGUCUGAUGUGAAAGACUUCGGCCCAAACGGAGAA